GCAUGGUUGAGGUUUACAGAAGAAGCCGCGAAGGCACAAAAUAACUUGACCGUACGAAUUGUGAUCAAAAGAAUGACAUUUUAAUGGCAUAAUACUUGGAUAUGAAAGCCGACUUUUUCGAUACUGCUUAUGCUGACGAGUGUGUACUCUUGUGUAUUGUAUAUGUACAAACACUCCCUUGUUUGUGUAGGGCUCAUUCAGCCGACACUGCCAUCUGCUGGAGGAAAGUGGUAGCUUCAACU